GGGGAAUAUUGCGCAAUGGGCGAAAGCCUGACGCAGCAACGCCGCGUGAGGGAUGAAGUACGUCGAGAUGUAAACCUCUUUCAGCAGGGACGAAGCGAAAGUGACGGUACCUGCAGAAGAAGCGCCGGCUAACUACGUGCCAGCAGCCGCGGUAAUACGUAGGGCGCAAGCGUUGUCCGGAUUUAUUGGGCGUAAAGGGCUCGUAGGCGGUCUGUCACGUCGGAUGUGAAAACUCGGAGCUCAACUCCGGGCCUGCAUUCGAUACGGGCAGACUAGAGUUCGGUAGGGGAGACUGGAACUCCUGGUGUAGCGGUGGAAUGCGCAGAUAUCAGGAAGAACACCGAUGGCGAAGGCAGGUCUCUGGGCCGACACUGACGCUGAGGAGCGAAAGCGUGGGGAGCGAAC
rnacentral:rRNA from 1 species